rnacentral:rRNA from 1 species
UACGUAGGGUGCAAGCGUUAAUCGGAAUUACUGGGCGUAAAGCGUGCGCAGGCGGCUUUGCAAGACAGAUGUGAAAUCCCCGGGCUUAACCUGGGAACUGCAUUUGUAACUGCAUGGCUGGAGUGCGGCAGAGGGGGAUGGAAUUCCGCGUGUAGCAGUGAAAUGCGUAGAUAUGCGGAGGAACACCGAUGGCGAAGGCAGGUCUCUGGGCUGACGACUGACGCUCAUGCACGAAAGCGUGGGGAGCAAACAGG